rnacentral:misc_RNA from 1 species
GAUGAAGAACGUAGCGAAAUGCGAUAAGUAAUGUGAAUUGCAGAAUUCAGUGAAUCAUCGAAUCUUUGAACGCAUCUUGCGCUCCUUGGUAUUCUGAGGAGCAUGCCUGUUUGAGUGUCAUUAAAUUCUCAACUACACUGACUUUGAAUUGGUGUGGCUUGGAUUUGGGGGGAAAAUUGUUGUGGGCUUUUUGUAUAGUCUGCUCCCCUGAAAUUGAUUAGCGGUACCUUUGUGGAACUGUCUACAGGUGUGAUAAUUAUCUACAUCUUAGACAUCUGCUGGAACGCUGCUUUCUAAACCUUACUUGUAUUGACAAUCUUGACCUCAAAUCAGGUAGGACUACCCGCUGAACUUAAGCAUAUCAAUAAGCGGAGGA